rnacentral:lncRNA from 1 species
AUUUUUUUUAGCUCUUCUCUAUUUUAGAGUGACAUCAUCACCAACACCCUUAUACCCACUAAGCACAGAAUUGUCAUUUGUUGAAUUUAGAUAGUAGUUUGUCCUCAACUUUAGUUCUGCUUUUCUUUGCUGUUGACUGUAGUAAUAAAUUACAAUGUAAUGGCUGUUACCACUUACCACAUGUUUAUUCUGUUCCAGACAUGACGUUAAGUUGUACAUACAUAUUUUUUCCGCCAUCACGAUCACCAUGUCAAGAUCAUUCUAAAUACAGACUCCACUGAUUUCCCCUCUCCCACGGUGGAUGGACCCCUCUGGUGACAUUUCAGCAGGUAGUGCUCAAGGUUCUAGAAGAGGAAUCUGUUUAUUAUUAUAUAUGUACAUACCCUGAAACAUGUAGUAUAUUUGUAAACACAUUGAACAAGGUCUGGAAUUAUAUCCAAUGGUAUCUUAAAAGUGGCAGC